UUAACACAUGCAAUGUCUGAACUGAGGUCCUAUCCGAUCUAUGUGAAGACCUAGUUGCGAACGGGUGCGUAACACGUGAGAAACCUGCCCCGGUCUCUGGGAUAACAGUUGGAAACGUCUGCUAAUACCGGAUGCCGUCGGACCGUCGCAUGGCGGACCGACGAAAGGGUUACCGGAUCGGGAGGGUCUCGCGGACUAUCAGCUUGUUGGUGAUGUAACGGCUCACCCAAUGCAUCGACGGGUAGCUGGUCUGAGACGGAUGAUACGCACACUUGGGACUUGAGACCUGCCCAAAUCCAACGGGAGGCAGCGUGGGAUUUUGCCCAGGGGGAAACCUUAUGAGAACGC
rnacentral:rRNA from 1 species